rnacentral:rRNA from 1 species
UACGUAGGGCGCAAGCGUUGUCCGGAAUUAUUGGGCGUAAAGAGCUCGUAGGCGGCCUGUUGCGUCCGCUGUGAAAUCCCGGGGCUCAACCCCGGGCCUGCAGUGGAUACGGGCUGGCUAGAGGCAGGCAGGGGAGAACGGGAAUUCCUGGUGUAGCGGUGAAAUGCGCAGAUAUCAGGAGGAACACCGGUGGCGAAGGCGGUUCUCUGGGCCUGUACUGACGCUGGAGGAGCGAAAGCGUGGGGAGCAAACAGG